AGAGUUUGAUCCUGGCUCAGGAUGAACGCUAGCGACAGGCCUAACACAUGCAAGUCGAGGGGCAGCGGAGAGGUAGCAAUACCUUUGCCGGCGACCGGCGCACGGGUGAGUAACACGUAUGCAAUCCACCUGUAACAGGGGGAUAACCCGGAGAAAUCCGGACUAAUACCCCAUAAUAUGGGCUCUCCGCAUGGAGGGUUCAUUAAAGAGAGCAAUUUUGGUUACAGACGAGCAUGCGCUCCAUUAGCCAGUUGGCGGGGUAACGGCCCACCAAAGCGACGAUGGAUAGGGGUUCUGAGAGGAAGGUCCCCCACAUUGGAACUGAGACACGGUCCAAACUCCUACGGGAGGCAGCAGUGAGGAAUAUUGGUCAAUGGUCGGCAGACUGAACCAGCCAAGUCGCGUGAGGGAAGACGGCCCUACGGGUUGUAAACCUCUUUUGUCGGAGAGUAAAGUACGCUACGUGUAGCGUAUUGCAAGUAUCCGAAGAAAAAGCAUCGGCUAACUCCGUGCCAGCAGCCGCGGUAAUACGGAGGAUGCGAGCGUUAUCCGGAUUUAUUGGGUUUAAAGGGUGCGUAGGCGGCACGCCAAGUCAGCGGUGAAAUUUUCGGGCUCAACCCGGACUGUGCCGUUGAAACUGGCGAGCUAGAGUGCACAAGAGGCAGGCGGAAUGCGUGGUGUAGCGGUGAAAUGCAUAGAUAUCACGCAGAACCCCGAUUGCGAAGGCAGCCUGCUAGGGUGCGACAGACGCUGAGGCACGAAAGCGUGGGUAUCGAACAGGAUUAGAUACCCUGGUAGUCCACGCAGUAAACGAUGAAUACUAACUGUUUGCGAUACAAUGUAAGCGGUACAGCGAAAGCGUUAAGUAUUCCACCUGGGGAGUACGCCGGCAACGGUGAAACUCAAAGGAAUUGACGGGGGCCCGCACAAGCGGAGGAACAUGUGGUUUAA
rnacentral:rRNA from 1 species